AAACUCUCACCACUCCCUUCUGAGGCCCUGCUGGGGCCCUUUCUAGAUCUGCCUGAGUGAGUUGGGCCUGGCUUCCUACGGCCCCAUGGUCAGAGCCCCGCAGAGGAGGGCAGCCAAGGGCCUUGCCUUUUGAACUUGUAGAGGAUGAAGGCUCCCGCUGCGAAGAGCCCGAUGACAAACAGCACCACUACCGCCCAGUAGCCGCCACCGCCGCCCAGCUGCUCAGCACCUGCAAGCAAAGCGGUUGUCAGUGGAGGACCUCGGGCACCGCCCAUCCCUGUCCCAUCCCCAGCCCAUCCCGUCUGUCCCCCACCCGUCCCCAGCCUGUCCCCCGCCCAUCCCCAGCUUGUCCCCUGCCUGUCCCUGGCCCAUUUCCUGCCUGUCUUCAGCCCAUUCCCAUUCCCUCCCCAGCCCUUCCCCAGCCCAUUCCCGGCUUGACCUCUUCCUGUCCCCCACCUGUUCCUGCCCGUCCCCUGCCUGUCCCUGCCUAUCCCCUGCCUGUCCCUGCCACAGCCUCCUUGGUGUGGAGGCUGUUCCAUGCCCGUGGCCGGCGCUCCUGAUGUGGCUGAGAGGGGCCAGAGGCCAUAAAUGACCAGGAGUGCGUCCUGUGUGGCCUUGGAGAGGUCCCCGCCCCUUGACCUGGCUCCCACUGGGGAUGGAGGCUGUGGGCAGAGCUCCCCGGCUAUGUUGAUGCUGGUGUGGGGCGAACCUGCCGAGUUUCAAGGGCACGGUGUCUUUACAGAGCAGAGCAAAACUCAUCGGCUUCUGCAAAGGCUUUUGCCCCAAAGGGGAAAGGAUGACUGACAGCCGAGGAGACAGCUCUGUGGGUUGGGGAAGGGGCAGAGAUUAUCCGAGACCCGAAGCGUGGGUAUCAGGGCCACCAGGACCCGGACUCCGCCUCGCAGGAGGAAGCUGAUCUUCUGUGCGUUCAGCACCUGCUGGAUGGCGGCGAGCCUCUGCAAGCACAGAGGGGACAGUGAGUGAGGCCUCCAUGGAGGCUCCUCUGCCAAAAGGGAAGGGGGAUGGGGUCCUCCUCCAGGAGGGGAGUGAGGGGUCUCCACGUGUUGGGGGGGUCUUCUACCAGGAGGAGAGUGAAGGGGUCCUCCAUGGGGGGUGGGGGAGAGGGUCUGCUACAGGUGAAAGGGGAGGAAGGGCCCUCCUCUGGUGGAGAGAGUGAGGGGGUGUCCUCCACUAG
rnacentral:lncRNA from 10 species